GAAGCAGCUGAGCAACUCAGCAGCCAAUCGGAGCCAAGAAAGCGGUGCUAAAUUAGUCUGGCAGGAACGGAGCCACUUGUUUUCCUCUCCGACCUCUUGGAAACCUUCAGCUGCCUUUGGACGAGCGAGCGUGCACUUGUUGUGACACCGACAGCUGCAACUUCCCAGCUCGAGAGCCGGAGCCCGUAGACACUCCCUACCAAAGGGCAGAAAGCGCCAUUUCAGCAACAGCUUUGGGGAGCUCAAAAGCGAAAGGAAAAUGCUGCGUUUCCAUAAAACAUUCAGAUUCCUGAAUGCAACAAUGAGGAAUCAGAUUGUUCCUCGAGCAAAUAUCACGGAGAAGCCACCUAAGGAGAUCGUAACGCCAGUGGUAAGUAUCCUUUUUUGUGUCUCUGGACCACCAGGAAAUUAGGGUAGUGCAGCAGAUACAUUGUAGUGUCGUGUGCUUGGAUGUCACGUUCAGAUUUCAGAAGGUGAGAAUGGUUAAGGUGUCCCCUGAACUGGCAACUACACACUUUACUCAGCCACAAACCUGAAGCCUUGAUUUUGGUUUCUGAAAGGAAUGUCUGUAAUGGGGGGCAGCCUAGGGAAUUCCCUUUUUUUCCUCCUCCCUUGUCUUUUUUUCCAGUGAAUAAAUUCCCCACAAUUUGCACUGUGAUAUCAGGCACGAAAAUGGCACAGGAUUUAAGGCUCCUGAGGGGAAUGCCACACAUACACACUUGGCUGCUUCUUCGUUAAAAGAGGCAGCGGGUUCUUACCAAGUUUUUAAGUAACGCUUUGAACAGACUGCGUCAUUUGGCCCUCAAGCAGCUGGCCUAAUAGUUUCUCGACUGCCUUGAGCGCUGCUGGGAUUCUAAAGCAGCUCCUCCCCACCCUUCUGAAACAUAGGCCAUUACACCUUCCCCGCUAUAUACUGUCUCAAAUUCUGUUCCCCAAAGUUGCAGCACAACAGUACAAGUUUAUUGGUGCAAUCGGGUUGCGUCUAUUCCUUGCAACGUGUUUGUGGCACAUUUGCUUCGUAUAACAUGCAGGAACAGCUCAAAAUGGCUCUCGGUCCCACUGGCCACAUUUGAAUGUUACUGUGCACUCUUUUACUUAUAGCAUGGACGUGUAUCAAAGUAGGGCUUUCCCACAAGCCAACCUUCAUUUCAAGUCUUCCUAAGUGAUGGCUCUCCUACUGCAGGUGUGGUGGGUCCACGUUCCAUGCAGCCAGGGCUGACUCCAGAGUUUGCAGCCUAAGGCGAAGGACAAAUCAGAUGUCUAGAAGCCAUCAGGAUGGCAGUUAGGAUCGUUCUCCAACACUGGCACUGGGAUAUCGCCCUCAUGGCGGUAGGCUAGAUUAGGAGCCAUGUGGCACACACAGCUCUUGUCCUCUUAACCUCUUGACAUCGCACCCCCUUGACUCCCAGCAUCUGCCCACUGGGAGGGGCAGCACUGCUUGCAGUAGGCAGAAUGACACAUAAUACUCAUGUUUCUUACAGCAAAGUACAGAUUACAUACAUACAGCCUUAAACUGUCUCUACAUGCAUCUGAAAACUUUUGAGACGUGAGUACACGUGCGCCAAAAGGUUUGUGUACUUUAUAUUACUCUCCACAUGUUGUUUGCUUUGUGGAUUUGAAGGUCUUCCAGAUCACUUUUAGGGGAAAGAAGCUAAGCUUUUGUUUAAUACAUUUAAUCAGUGCAAAAAACCCUAAUAGCCAAAAAAAAACACCAGUGCUUUGAGACACAUGUAAGAACUCACCCCCCCGAAAAUUAAUAAUAAUGGAGCAGAGUGUUAUUUAUAGAGACCAUCUCCUCCCACCCUCAACUCUUGCACAUCCAGCCUCAUUUUAAAAAAUCAUACAAUUCAUUUCCUCAUUCUUCCCAGCUUAAAGAGCGUUAAGAACUUUGGCAAUAUGCCUGCACAGAGCCAUUGUUCUCCAGAUCUGAUACACGUACCAGGAAAUAGAAAUUUCACAGCUCUAUACCUUUUAUGGCACAAUAAAGUGAGAAGCAGCUUUUAGAUGCCUUUAACCUAUAAGAAAAUCAAACAUUUAUUUGAAUAUACAUAGGCAGUAUCUGCAGCCUUUAUUGAUCAGUGUAGAGUUUUUGCAACCACAAAUAAAUUCUACCAGUUUUUAUGACCUCAAGUCAGGUCCCCCUUUCUUCAUGUUGCUUUAAUUAUUCAGAGUUUUUCAUUUUUGUGGCAUGGACAUUGACUUUCUUGCUGAAAAACUAAGUUUUUGGCACCAAAUUAACAGCCCAGAUCAUGUCAGUAACAAUUUAUGAUUAAAAGAGUGGUUUCUGAAGGAAGGGCAAUUCUUUCUUCAUUCUUUCAUCAGAAGAAUCUCAACUGAAUUAAAUUGUGAGGAAACACAAUGAUUGAAAAUCAUGUCCACCCUCUAUAGGAACCAAACAAAAAUAUAUGCUUUAUGUAUUUUUUAGUACACACAAGAGUUAGUAAGCACUGCCAGUCCCACAGGUGCAACAGAUUAUAACUAGUUCAGAUGAUUUCUAAUUGGGAUCAGGCAGGCCUGUGCUACUGCUCUCAGGACAAAGUCACUUGAAAGUCAGGCUACUGCCAGUAUGCCAUUGCAAAAAGAUUAUCUCCUUGCUCAGAAGUAAUCUAAAGGCUGCACCAUUCAGCAAUACGUAUCUGGGCUGACUACAGCCUUUGCCUUAGAGCUAACAAUAGUGAGGGCCCAACUAACACUUUAUAUUGAAUAAGGAAAAUUAUGUACAUUGCAUAAUAGGAAAAAUUAAAUGACGCAAAUUAACAGGCACAGCAAGACCACACGUUUGGUAAGAGUAGGUUGUACAGUACACUGUUCAAUCUCAGCCAAACCAUGGGUGGGUAGGUGUACACAUACAUACAUACAUACAUACAUAAACAUAAACCCACUCCCUUGUGGGACUUCUUUGGGAGAAGGAAAGGCUAAGGAGGAAACCCUACAUCAAUCCAGAGCGGAAUCCUUAAGACAGUUGGAUGGUGCCUUGAUGCCUCCUUCCAGCAACUCCUGCAGCCAAGCUGGUGCCGAACAUAUAGCUCUGCUUUCCUUUGGACCACAUCAGUAAGGCCAAGAGGGGAGGUCUUGUGGUCUGGGCAACCCAGGACCUCCAUACACACUGCUCAGGCUUGUGCCUUGGGGAGGUCACUUCGGUGUUGCUAACACAGCAAAAGCAACACAGGAGGCAGCAGUUACAAGUUACUGGUUUCCACAGCUACAGCAGGCGCUGUGAUUCUCCAGUGGUGUGACUUCAUACACACCCUAAACACACCCAUACUGCAGGUGUUCAUCAAAACUGAGGCAAACUUUAUAAGACUUAGUCUUAAGAUGAAGAAUUCUUGUUCUCAACCCCAUCCAUCUCUAUCACCCGUUAGCCCGUCCCUCCUCCCCUCCCCUUCUUAAAGUGGGAACAGCAUCAAAGGUGUGUGAGUGGAGAGCAGAGGAUUUUGUUUUCCUGCCCCAUUGUGCUUGGGAACAGACUAGAGAGAACUAUGACAUGUAGUUCUUCAAAAGCUCCUGCUUCUGAAUGAAAAGGAGGAGUGCAUCUGGGAGCUAGCAAAGGGAGGCCAACACUGGAAAUCUAAAUAUAAUAUAAGCAAUCAUAUGAAUUGUGUUACUUUUUAUUAGAUGUUAUCUUUUGUGGUUGCAUUUUUUGCAGUUCCAUUUUAAAUUGUAACCUGCCCUGGGACCUUGGGGUGAGGGAUGGGUAAGAACUAAAAUAGAAACCCAAGCCCUCUGAUUGACUUAGUUUUCCCAAGUUUGCCUUUUUUGGUAGGAAACCUAGAAAAAAAGUCCAAUCCAAAGAGUUCCUCAUCUCUAGAGCACACAUGUAUGCAGUAUUUAUACCCUGCUAAGACUCCCAAGAUAUUUUCAAAACUACACAAUUAGGUGUAUAGCAAUCUCUUUUAGGCCCUGGCAGUUAUUAAUGCAAUUCAGUUUUCAGGCUCUUUCACAGAAGAGGCUAUAGAAGGCGGCCUUUCAAUUAUCUGCAGAUUAUUUUGGGCCCUGGCAGUCAGACUAGUCAGGCAACUGAGGAUUCUUUCAAAAGCACAACAAACAUCCUAGAAGGACUUCACUGCACUGUAAAAAAAUAAAGACAAAUCACACAGCACAUACUUGCUUUCUUCCCUGCAUGAACUAUAAAUGGUGAUUAGCCCAGGAGAACCCAGAAUGUUCUACAACAUUCAUAAUACUGCAGACGACAUUCACCUCUGUUUCUUUGUACAGGAACAAGCUAUUGGACUGACUGUGAUGUUUGUAACCUUCUUGGUCCCAUCCGGUUGGAUAUUGAGCCAUAUGGAGGAUUACAAGAACGCGCACCGUGAAUGAAGCACAGGCAGAAGUUCUCCACUAUGAACGUGGCCACAAAGCAGAUGCCAAAGGAACUUGCAUCCUCCCAUAUGCAAAGCUGUCUCUUGCUGUUUUUAUAAUUAAAAAAUUGCUUUUAAAAAACCACAGUGAA